GCAGCAGUCAUGGCAGCGGAGGAGAAGGAUCCUUUGAGCUAUUUCGCGGCUUACGGGAGCAGCAGCUCAGGCUCCUCGGACGAGGAGGAUAACAGCGAGCCGGAGGAGACAAGUCGUAAGGCCCAAGAUCCAGCGAAGUCGGCCGGCGGCAAUGGGAACAAGGCGGAGAAGCGGCUGCCUGGACCAGACGAGCUGUUCCGGAGCGUGAGUCGCCCGGCCUUUCUUUACAAUCCGCUCAACAAACAGAUAGACUGGGAGAGGCACGUCGUCAAAGCUCCAGAGGAGCCUCCAAAGGAAUUCAAAAUAUGGAAGUCAAACUAUGUACCACCUCCGGAGACGUACUCUACAGAGAAGAAACCUCCCCCUCCAGAGCUGGAUAUGGCAAUAAAAUGGUCCAACAUAUAUGAGGACAAUGGUGAUGAUGCCCCACAGAAUGCUAAGAAAGCUAGGCUUCUACCAGAAGGGGAGGAGACAGUGGAAUCAGGGGGGGAAGAAGCCUGUUUUUGUCUUGCCAUUGGAAUAUUCUGACCCUCCUGGGAAUGGGGGAGAAAGUAGAACUACCUACAUAGGACAAAAUUGAAAAUACGGUUUCAGUGAAACAUCUACCUAUGAUGAAAAAGAUGAGCAUACUUCUAAAAAGCGCAAAGUAGAACUGGGAGAACCAACAAAGAAGAAAAAAUAGACAAGAAUGACAAGAAUCUUUGGACUGCAAAACUUGUGGGUCUUUUUGGCAAAUUAAGUUGAUACUGUAAAUUAUUAUGAAACAACAUCUCCAUGAAAAUAUAUGUUAAUUAACUAAUGAGUAUUCCUGCUGGAACGUUCCACUGUAGAAUUCAUUUUUUAUUUAAAAAUAUGUAUUUAAAACUGAAAUGGUGACUUGUGAUUGUGUAAUUGACAAUGCUUGGAAGCAUUCUUGCUACCGCAGAAUUGGUGACAUGCUUUGAGUUUCAUCCCAAGUUGACAUGCCAGUGUUCUGUGAACCUUUUAUAAAGGAGUAUAUUUUUAAAGUAAAUACAUUGUAAUGUACUGUGAACUUGUAGGGUGCUUUUCAACAGUGUUUGUACAGUGUAAAUAGAUCAUGAAAAU